rnacentral:rRNA from 1 species
GAUUUACCUUGUUACGACUUCACCCCAGUCGCUGACUAUACCGUGGUCAAGGGUUUGAAACCUUGCCUUAAGGUAGAACCAACUCCCAUGGUGUGACGGGCGGUGUGUACAAGACCCGGGAACGCAUUCACCGUGGCACGCUGAUCCACGAUUACUAGUAAUUCCAGCUUCAUGCACUCGAGUUGCAGAGUGCAAUCCGAACUGAGGUAUCUUUUAGGGAUUUGCUUAACUUCGCAGUCUUGCUUCCUGUUGUAGAUACCAUUGUAGCACGUGUGUAGCCCAACACGUAAGGGCCAUGAGGACUUGACGUCAUCCCCACCUUCCUCCAGCUUAUCACUGGCAGUUCUUUCAGAGUGCCCAACUUAAUGAUGGCAACUAAAAGUGAGGGNUGCGCUCGUUGCGGGACUUAACCCAACAUCUCACGACACGAGCUGACGACAGCCAUGCAGCACCUGUGUUUCGUCCGGCCGAACCGAAAACUCUAAUCUCUUAGAGUCGCGACGAACAUGUCAAGUGUUGGUAAGGUUCUGCGCGUAUCUUCGAAUUAAACCACAUGCUCCACUACUUGUGCGGGUCCCCGUCAAUUCAUUUGAGUUUUAACCUUGCGGUCGUACUCCCCANGCGGGGUGUUUAUCGGGUUUCCCCUGCGACACUGAAAAUAAAAUUUCCAACGUCUAACACACAUCGNUUUACGGCA